rnacentral:tRNA from 4 species
AUAUUUUAAAACAAUCUAGUUUUCUUAAUAUCUUCAAUAUUAUACUUUAAAAAUAAGCUAUUAAAAUA